rnacentral:rRNA from 1 species
AUUGAACGCUGGCGGCAGGCUUAACACAUGCAAGUCGAGCGGAGUGAUGGUGCUUGCACUAUCACUUAGCGGCGGACGGGUGAGUAAUGCUUAGGAAUCUGCCUAUUAGUGGGGGACGACAUCUCGAAAGGGAUGCUAAUACCGCAUACGUCCUACGGGAGAAAGCAGGGGAUCACUUGUGACCUUGCGCUAAUAGAUGAGCCUAAGUCGGAUUAGCUAGUUGGUGGGGUAAAGGCCUACCAAGGCGACGAUCUGUAGCGGGUCUGAGAGGAUGAUCCGCCACACUGGGACUGAGACACGGCCCAGACUCCUACGGGAGGCAGCAGUGGGGAAUAUUGGACAAUGGGGGGAACCCUGAUCCAGCCAUGCCGCGUGUGUGAAGAAGGCCUUAUGGUUGUAAAGCACUUUAAGCGAGGAGGAGGCUCUUUUGGUUAAUACCCAGGAUGAGUGGACGUUACUCGCAGAAUAAGCACCGGCUAACUCUGUGCCAGCCGCCGCCGUAA